CUUCAUAGUGAUGAAAUCAUUGACGGAUGUAACGAGUAAUACUCGUGUUGUCCGAGAGCGCUUUAUUCGUGUGGAUAACCCGUUGCCUUCCUUCUGAGUCUUUAC
rnacentral:snoRNA from 1 species